AUUGAACGCUGGCGGCAGGCUUAACACAUGCAAGUCGAGCGGGGAAGGGUAGCUUGCUACCUAACCUAGCGGCGGACGGGUGAGUAAUGCUUAGGAAUCUGCCAUUUAGUGGGGGACAACAUUCCGAAAGGAAUGCUAAUACCGCAUACGUCCUACGGGAGAAAGCAGGGGAUCUUCGGACCUUGCGCUAAAUGAUGAGCCUAAGUCGGAUUAGCUAGUUGGUGGGGUAAAGGCCUACCAAGGCGACGAUCUGUAGCGGGUCUGAGAGGAUGGUCCGCCACACUGGGACUGAGACACGGCCCAGACUCCUACGGGAGGCAGUAGUGGGGAAUAUUGGACAAUGGGCGGAAGCCUGAUCCAGCCAUGCCGCGUGUGUGAAGAAGGCCUUAUGGUUGUAAAGCACUUUAAGCGAGGAGGAGGCUACUAGUAUUAAUACUACUGGAUAGUGGACGUUACUCGCAGAAUAAGCACCGGCUAACUCUGUGCCAGCCGCCGCCGUAA
rnacentral:rRNA from 1 species